rnacentral:rRNA from 1 species
UUGACGGGGGCCCGCACAAGCGGUGGAGCAUGUGGUUUAAUCGAAGCAACGCGAAGAACCUUACCAGGUCUUGACAUCCCGAUGCUAUUUCUAGAGAUAGAAAGUUACUUCGGUACAUCGGUGACAGGUGGUGCAUGGUUGUCGUCAGCUCGUGUCGUGAGAUGUUGGGUUAAGUCCCGCAACGAGCGCAACCCCUAUUGUUAGUUGCCAUCAUUCAGUUGGGCACUCUAGCGAGACUGCCGGUAAUAAACCGGAGGAAGGUGGGGAUGACGUCAAAUCAUCAUGCCCCUUAUGACCUGGGCUACACACGUGCUACAAUGGUUGGUACAACGAGUUGCGAGUCGGUGACGGCGAGCUAAUCUCUUAAAGCCAAUCUCAGUUCGGAUUGUAGGCUGCAACUCGCCUACAUGAAGUCGGAAUCGCUAGUAAUCGCGGAUCAGCACGCCGCGGUGAAUACGUUCCCGGGCCUU